rnacentral:rRNA from 1 species
CAGUCGCCGCGGUAAUACGAAGGGUGCAAGCGUUGCUCGGAAUGACUGGGCGUAAAGGGCGCGUAGGCGGUUUUGACAGUCAGAUGUGAAAUUCCUGGGCUUAACCUGGGGGCUGCAUUUGAGACGUCAAGACUAAAGUGUGAGAGAGGGUUGUGGAAUUCCCAGUGUAGAGGUGAAAUUCGUAGAUAUUGGGAAGAACACCGGUGGCGAAGGCGGCAACCUGGCUCAUUACUGACGCUGAGGCGCGAAAGCGUGGGGAGCGAACAGGAUUAGAGACCCGAGUAGUCCCUGUCUCUUAUAC